rnacentral:rRNA from 1 species
GGCUGCUUGGAUGGGGUUACACUGGAACGGUUGCUAAAACCCAAUGUGCCGAGAGGUGAAAUAUUUUAUAGCCUGAAGAUGAGCUCGCGUCUGAUUAGCUAGAUGGUGGGGUAAAAGCCUACCAUGGCGACGAUCAGUAGCUGUUCUGAGAGGAAGAUCAGCCACACUGGGACUGAGACACGGCCCAGACUCCUACGGGAGGCAGCAGUGGGGAAUUUUCCGCAAUGGGCGAAAGCCUGACGGAGCAAUACCGCGUGCGGGAGGAAGGCCCUUGGGUCGUAAACCGCUUUUCUUAGGGAAGAAACCUGACGGUACCUAAGGAAUAAGCCUCGGCUAACUCCGUGCCAGCAGCCGCGGUAAUACGGAGGAGGCAAGCGUUAUCCGGAAUUAUUGGGCGUAAAGAGUCCGUAGGUGGUUCAUCAAGUCUGCGGUUAAAGAGUGCAGCUCAACUGCAUAAAGGCCGUGGAAACUGUUGAACUAGAGUAUGGUAGGGGUAGGGGGAAUUCCCAGUGUAGCGGUGAAAUGCGUAGAGAUUGGGAAGAACACCGGUGGCGAAAGCGCCCUGCUGGGCCAUAACUGACACUGAGGGACGAAAGCUAGGGUAGCGAAUGGGAUUAGUCC